ensembl:lncRNA
UAUACAAACACCGUCCCUCUAGGCCCGGAGACUGUCAUGGAAGAGUUGUCCACACUGCUGCUAUGUGUCAGGCUUGUGCUAGGAUCUGGGAACAGAGAGAUGAAUAAAACGUGGUCCCUCAGUCUUCAGCAGCUCAUAAAGAACUGGGGAAAACAGAGUUGCAAGGAACUCACAGUGAGUAACUCUAGCUUUAUCUUCUGUCUGGAUUUUUGUUUUCACGCAAUUGCACCAUUUUUCUUCUGGUUGAGCACGUUCCUAGAUUGGACUUAGAUUGUGUAGGUUAUCAAUAAAUACUGGCCAUGCUCAUGGUUGUGGUUGUGUCCAUGUAAAGGCUUUCAAAUACCUCCAACUCGUGGAGCCCUUGCUUAGCAGUGCAAUGUGUGCAGGUAACAGAAACUUAAGAAAAAUUGUGAAGUCAUUUGAACAUUUUUCUGUUUUUAUUUUAGUUUUUAUUAUUGUAUUAUUAUUUUAAAAACCCACACCCCUGCAGGAGAGGAAAGAUUUCUUUUUCUCAUCCACCCUAGGUUCAUACUGGAGGCUCCUAUAACAAAAGAAGAUUAACAAGCGAAAGGCAUACACAUUUAUUUAAUAUAAGUUUUAUAUGAAGGGGAGACUUCUUAAGGAAAUGAAGAUUCAAGUAAACAGGUGCGCUUGUGUAUUGCUAUGCUUAGGUUUGAUGAAGCAUGGACCGUCAUGGAGAAAUAUGACUGCAGGGCAGAAGGAUGUGAUUGAAUGGUAAUAAGCUAGGGGGAAACUUAGCAAGACCUGUUUGUUCAGGUUCCUCUCUGUGUCCCUGUGUCUUCAGAGGUAAGGAUGUUCCUUUCACCCCGGGUAUAGGAAGGGUACCUUUCAAAUGAGGGAUUUAUGGCCUGUUUCAGGGGAGAAGGCUGAGGGAAAGGUGAACGAGGCCUUCCUGCUUCUGCUGUUUUCUCAAAUGCCAAGAUGUCAUAUUUUGGGAUAGUGUGUCCUGAACCCCAUCUUCCCCGUCCCCCUACUGGAUUAAUCUGAAGUAAGUUCCAGGUAUUAUACAUAUAUUUAUAUGUAUCUAUAUAUGUAAAUGUAUAUUUAUAAAUAUCUAUGCAUAUCAUAAAUGCAAAUGUGUGUAAAUAUUCCAGCACAUAUCUCUGAAAGUUAAGGACUCUUUUUAUUUUAUUUUUAUUUUUUUGGGAUGGAGUCUUGUUCUGUUGCCCAGGCUGAAGUGCAGUGGCAUGGUCUCAGCUCACUGCAACUUCCACCUCAUGGGUUUAAGCAAUUCUCCUGCCUCAGCGCUCCGAGUAGCUGAGAUUACAGGUGCCUGCCACCAUGCCCGGCUAAUUUUUUGUAUUUUUAGUAGAGAUGGGGUUUCAUCAUGUUGGCCAGGCUGGUCUUGAGCUCCUGACCUCCUGAUCCACCUGCCUUGGCCUCCCAAAGUGCUGAGAGUACAGGCAUGAGCCAGGACUCUUUAAAAAGUAACCAUAAUAUCAUGACCACACCUAAAAAAUUAUUGGUAAUUCCUUAAUAUUAUCAGAUAUCCAGUCACAUUUCACUGAUUUUAUUAUAAGCUUUUACUUUUAUAGUUGGUUUGUCUGAAUCAGGAUUUUUGAUAGGUUCCUAUGUUGUGAUUGGUUGGGAUACCUCUUAAAUCUUUUCUUUCUUUCUUUCUUUCUUUUUGAGACAGGGUCUUGCUCUGUCACCCAGGCUGAAGUGCAGUUACAAAAUCACUGCUCACUGCAGCCUUGACCUCUCGGGCUGAAGUGAUCCUCCUGCCUCAGCCUCCUGAGUAACUGGGACCACAGGCAUGUGCCCCUAUGCCUGGCUAAUUUUUUUUUUGAGAUGGGGGUCUCACUGUGUUGCCGAGGCUGGUCUGGAAUUCCUGGGCUCAAGUGAUUCUUCCACCUUGGCCUCCCAAAGUGCUGAGAUUGCAGGUGUGAGCCACUGUGCCCAGCCAAAUCUUUUCUAACCUACAGGUUUCCCCUCAUGUUCUUUUUUUUUUUUUUUUUUCCAUUGCAAUUUAUUUGUUGAAGAAACUGGGUGAUUUCUCCAAUAGAGUUUCCCAUAGUCUGGAUAUUGCUGAUUGCUUCCUUGUAAUGUUUAACCUGUUCCUCUGGUCUCUGUAUUGCCAUCAAACUGGUAGUUAGACCUAAAACUUUAGGCUUGAGUGUAGGGCAGAAAUAUCUCAUAGGGGGUGGUGUGUGUACUUCUAUCUGGAGACACAAAAUGCUGGAUUCUCGCUGCUUCUGUGACGUGAGCUGUCCUGAUGUACAGAUUAACUCAGCUCCUUAGCUCGUUAGAGGUUGCUCAGUGGUAAUACUCCAGUUCUGUUGUUGCUUCCUAUGCCUUAGCCAGAAUACUGGUCUGGAAGAGAAACUUCUCUCAUCAGCAUUUGGUUACUCUGAGGUGCAGUUUGUACAGGACAGUCAGAAUUCAUGCUGGCUUCUUUCCCUUUAUUAAUAGUUUUUAAGGAAUUUAAACACUGAAGACUUCAGAGAUUGUACCCCUUCUUCCCCAAAUAGUUUUCUCCUCUUUCCCCGGCCCCUCUGUAAUCUAGAAUCUUGCUCUCUCUCUCUAUUUUUUUUUUUUUUUUUGAGAUGGAGUUUCCCUCUGUUGCCCAGGCUGGAGUACAGUGGUGCGAUCUCGGCUCACUGCAUCCUCCACCUCAUGGGUUCAAGCGAUUCUCCUGCCUCAGCCUCCUGAGUAGCUGGAAUUACAGGCUCCUGCCACCAUGCCCGGCUAAU